UACGUAGGGGGCAAGCGUUGUCCGGAUUUAUUGGGCGUAAAGAGCGUGUAGGCGGCUAGAUAGGUCCGUUGUGAAAACUCGAGGCUCAACCUCGAGACGUCGAUGGAAACCAUCUGGCUAGAGUCCGGAAGAGGAGAGUGGAAUUCCUGGUGUAGCGGUGAAAUGCGCAGAUAUCGGGAAGAACACCCGUGGCGAAGGCGGUUCUCUGGGACGGUACUGACGCUGAGACGCGAAAGCGUGGGGAGCGAACAGG
rnacentral:rRNA from 1 species